rnacentral:rRNA from 1 species
UACAGAGGGUGCAAGCGUUGUUCGGAAUUAUUGGGCGUAAAGGGCGCGUAGGCGGUGCGGUAAGUCCGCAGUGAAAUCUCUGGGCUCAACUCAGAGUCUGCUGUGGAAACUGCCGUGCUCGAGUGUGGGAGAGGUGAGUGGAAUUCCCGGUGUAGCGGUGAAAUGCGUAGAGAUCGGAAAGAACACCAACGGCGAAAGCACUCUGCUGGGCCGACACUGACACUGAGAGACGAAAGCUAGGGGAGCGAAUGGG